rnacentral:rRNA from 1 species
UACGUAGGGUGCGAGCGUUGUCCGGAAUUAUUGGGCGUAAAGAGCUCGUAGGCGGUUUGUCGCGUCUGCUGUGAAAACCCGAGGCUCAACCUCGGGCCUGCAGUGGGUACGGGCAGACUAGAGUGCGGUAGGGGAGAAUGGAAUUCCCGGUGUAGCGGUGAAAUGCGCAGAUAUCGGGAGGAACACCGGUGGCGAAGGCGGUUCUCUGGGCCUUACCUGACGCUGAGGAGCGAAAGCGUGGGGAGCGAACAGG